rnacentral:rRNA from 1 species
CCUACGGGAGGCAGCAGUGGGGAAUAUUGCACAAUGGGCGCAAGCCUGAUGCAGCCAUGCCGCGUGUAUGAAGAAGGCCUUCGGGUUGUAAAGUACUUUCAGCGAGGAGGAAGGCGUUGAGGUUAAUAACCUCAUGAAUUGACGUUACUCGCAGAAUAAGCACCGGCUAACUCCGUGCCAGCAGCCGCGGUAAU